rnacentral:rRNA from 1 species
CCCGUGCGCUACAUGCAGUCGAGCGGAUGAAGGGAGCUUGCUCCUGGAUUCAGCGGCGGACGGGUCAUUAAUGCCUAGGAAUCUGCCUGGUAGUGGGGGAUAACGUCCGGAAACGGGCGCUAAUACCGCAUACGUCCUGAGGGAGAAAGUGGGGGAUCUGCGGACCUCACGCUAUCAGAUGAGCCUAGGUCGGAUUAGCUAGUUGGUGGGGUAAAGGCCUACCAAGGCGACGAUCCGUAACUGGUCUGAGAGGAUGAUCAGUCACACUGGAACUGAGACACGGUCCAGACUCCUACGGGAGGCAGCAGUGGGGAAUAUUGGACAAUGGGCGAAAGCCUGAUCCAGCCAUGCCGCGUGUGUGAAGAAGGUCUCCGGAUUGUAAAGCACUUUAAGUUGGGAGGAAGGGCAGUAAGUCGAUACCUUGCUGCGUUGACGUUACCAACAGAAUAAGCACCGGCUAACUUCGUGCCAGCAGCCGCGGUAAUACGAAGGGUGCAAGCGUUAAUCGGAAUUACUGGGCGUAAAGCGCGCGUAGGUGGUUCAGCAAGUUGGAUGUGAAAUCCCCGGGCUCAACCUGGGAACUGCAUCCAAAACUACUG